GAAAUGCGAUAAGUAAUGUGAAUUGCAGAAUUCAGUGAAUCAUCGAAUCUUUGAACGCACAUUGCGCCCGCCAGUAUUCUGGCGGGCAUGCCUGUUCGAGCGUCAUUACAACCCUCAGGCCCCCGGGCCUGGCGUUGGGGAUCGGCGGAAGCCCCCUGCGGGCACAACGCCGUCCCCCAAAUACAGUGGCGGUCCCGCCGCAGCUUCCAUUGCGUAGUAGCUAACACCUCGCAACUGGAGAGCGGCGCGGCCACGCCGUAAAACACCCAACUUCUGAAUGUUGACCUGGCAUCAGGUAGGAAUACCCGCUGAACUUAAGC
rnacentral:misc_RNA from 1 species